ensembl:snoRNA SNORA72 Small nucleolar RNA SNORA72
CUGCGAAUAUUCUCGCUGUCCUGAUAUUUCAGUGAUCAGGGCAGGCUAGACAUUCGCUAUAUUAUAACUAUGUAGUGUGUCCCCAGAGCUAGAUUUGCCUCCCUAGUUCUGGGUUUAAACUGCAAGUAACAUCU